UACGUAGGGAGCAAGCGUUGUCCGGAUUCACUGGGUGUAAAGGGUGCGCAGGCGGGUUGGCAAGUCAGAGGUGAAAUCCCCUCAAGCUUAACUUGGGAACUGCCGUGGAUACUAUCAAUCUUGAAUAUCGUGGAGGUAAGCGGAAUAUGUCAUGUAGCGGUGAAAUGCUUAGAUAUGACAUAGAACACCAAUUGCGUAGGCAGCUUACUACACGAUCAUUGACGCUGAGGCACGAAAGCGUGGGGAGCAAACAGG
rnacentral:rRNA from 1 species